CUUAAAUGAAUUGACGGGGCCCGCACAAGCGGUGGAGCAUGUGGUUAAUUCGAAGCAACGCGAAGAACCUUACCAGGUCUUGACAUCCCCUGACAACCCGAGAGAUCGGGCGUUCCCCCUUCGGGGGACAGGGUGACAGGUGGUGCAUGGUUGUCGUCAGCUCGUGUCGUGAGAUGUUGGGUUAAGUCCCGCAACGAGCGCAACCCUCGACCUUAGUUGCCAGCAUUCAGUUGGGCACUCUAAGGUGACUGCCGGCUAAAAGUCGGAGGAAGGUGGGGAUGACGUCAAAUCAUCAUGCCCCUUAUGACCUGGGCUACACACGUGCUACAAUGGGCGGUACAAAGGGUCGCGAACCCGCGAGGGGGAGCCAAUCCCAAAAAGCCGCUCUCAGUUCGGAUUGCAGGCUGCAACUCGCCUGCAUGAAGCCGGAAUCGCUAGUAAUCGCGGAUCAGCACGCCGCGGUGAAUACGUUCCCGGGCCUU
rnacentral:rRNA from 1 species